rnacentral:rRNA from 1 species
CCUACGGGGGGCAGCAGUGGGGAAUAUUGGGCAAUGGAGGCAACUCUGACCCAGCAACGCCGCGUGAAUGAUGAAGGUCUUCGGAUUGUAAAGUUCUGUGAUGGGGGAUGAACACAAUGACGGUACCCCAAUAGCAAGCCACGGCUAACUACGUGCCAGCAGCCGCGGUAAUACGUAGGUGGCAAGCGUUAUCCGGAAUGACUGGGCGUAAAGGGUGCGUAGGUGGUUUAGUAAGUUGGCGGUGUAAUUCCGGGGCUCAACCUCGGCGCUACCGCCAAAACUAUUAGACUAGAGUGCAGGAGGGGUAAGUGGAAUUCCUAGUGUAGCGGUGGAAUGCGUAGAUAUCACGCAGAACCCCGAUUGCGAAGGCAGCAUACCGGCGCCCUACUGACGCUGAGGCACGAAAGUGCGGGUAUCGAACAGGAUUAGAUACCCUUGUAGUC